rnacentral:rRNA from 1 species
UACGUAGGGUGCAAGCGUUGUCCGGAAUUAUUGGGCGUAAAGAGCUCGUAGGCGGUCUGUCGCGUCGGCUGUGAAAAUCCAGGGCUCAACCCUGGACCUGCAUUCGAUACGGGCAGACUAGAGGUAUGCAGGGGAGAACGGAAUUCCUGGUGUAGCGGUGAAAUGCGCAGAUAUCAGGAGGAACACCGGUGGCGAGGGCGGUUCUCUGGGCAUUACCUGACGCUGAGGAGCGAAAGUGUGGGGAGCGAACAGG